UGGGGAAUUUUGCACAAUGGGGGAAACCCUGAUGCAGCGACGCCGCGUGAUUUAGAAGGCCUUCGGGUUGUAAAAAUCUUUUCUAUGGGAAGAAAAUGACAGUACCAUAGGAAUAAGGACCGGCUAAUUACGUGCCAGCAGCCGCGGUAAUACGUAAGGUCCGAGCGUUGUCCGGAAUCAUUGGGCGUAAAGGGUACGUAGGCGGGUAAGCAAGUUAGAAGUGAAAUCCUAUAGCUCAACUAUAGUAAGCUUUUAAAACUGCUCAUCUUGAGGUAUGGAAGGGAAAGUGGAAUUCCUAGUGUAGCGGUGAAAUGCGCAGAUAUUAGGAGGAAUACCGGUGGCGAAGGCGACUUUCUGGCCAUAACCUGACGCUGAGGUACGAAAGCGUGGGUAGAAACAGG
rnacentral:rRNA from 1 species